UACGGGGGGGGCAAGCGUUGUUCGGAAUUACUGGGCGUAAAGGGCGUGCAGGCGGUUGCGUAAGUUAGGCGAGAAAGACUUCGGCUAAACCGGGGGAGGUCGUCUGAUACUGCGCAACUAGAGUAUGGUAGAGGCGUGUAGAAUUCCGGGUGUAGUGGUGAAAUGCGUAGAGAUCCGGAGGAAUACCAGUGGCGAAGGCGGCACGCUGGGCCAUUACUGACGCUAAGACGCGAAAGCAUGGGUAGCGAACGGG
rnacentral:rRNA from 1 species